UACAUAUUUCUCUUCAGAAAUUUGCUGCACUGGCAAAUUAGCGACUGAUAAACAUAGGAGUGGGAUACAGACAAUGGAAGUUUGCACAAAAGCCCCUCCUUUGCACCUACAAAUCCCAGUACAGAUACAAAAUUACUGAUAAUCACAACCAGAAAGUAGAAGCAGUUCAGCUUUUGUAACCUCUCAUGAGGACUUUCUCAGUGAAGCCUAAGAGUUGCUAGCUAGAAAAUUGCGUGGUCAUGAUUAUUUUAUUUCUUUUUAAAAAUUAAGUUCAGUGUGACGCCAGCACCAGAGAGUGCAGGCUCUCUCCACGAACAGCACAGCAGCUUGGCUGUUGGUAGCUCCCCUCUCCAUCCCCACCGUCCUUAGGGGGGGAUCCAGCAGUUCCCUCUGGGUCACACCUGCCUCCAGCACAGAGCUCCAUCCAUCCACCCCUGCCAUGCUCUGCUGCUGCCAUGGCAGGGCAGGGCAGGGCAGGGCAGGAGCUGCCAGCCCCACGGAGCAGAGCUGUGCCCGGGCAGAGCCGCCCCUGCGGCACCGCCUGGCACCAGGAGCCCAUCAAUAAACUCCCAAUUAUCUUACCCAGCACCGGAGACACGGGCAUGGGGCAGGAAAGUCCCAAGGACAGUUUAUUUCACAUCCCCUUCAAUAAAUCUGUCCGGGUACCUCGCAGUCCCAUCGCUACGGUAUUUCAUUGCCUCCAGAGCAUUUCAGCAGGAAAUGUGCCAAUGGUAAUUAAAUGAUCACUGGGGUAUUUUUUGACUUGAGCAAUUUGUUUGCAUUCUCCAAAUUUGCUGCCUGUCCUAUUGUAAGCUGAUUCACUUAAGGCCAAGGAAUCAAAUAAUAAUUUGCUUUCUUUAGCACAGAAGAAAUUCAUAAAUGUUGUACUUUAAGGUGCAAAACCUACUUCAAACCUGAGUGAUCCCAAUAGAAAUCUUGGAAAUGUUUGUAAAAAUGUAUUUAACCAACAGUCUCCAGCAUAACUGUAACACCAGUUUACUAUAGAGCACUGUAAUGUUAAAAGGUUCUUCACAGUUUCAGGAGUAAAAUAUCACACGUUAAGUGAUUAUGUAGAUGUGAUUUUUCCUAUAUACAAAAUAUACCAGAGGUACUCUGCAUUAAUUUUUGUCCUGUGCUAUGUGCCAAUCUGUAGAGUACAACUGUCACAGUUUUUGCCUCACAGCUUGCAGCUGCACUCUUGCCACUUCUCUUGAGGAGAGUAGAGCAGAAGCAGCCUUGGGAUAGAGGAAGUUAAAAAUAAUAAAAUAACAGAAGAUCAGAGAGAUUGUAGUUGUGGAGUUAGUGCUUCAGUGCUGGCUGGUUCUCUUUUGCCCAGAGCCAGGAUUUAACCAGAGGCUUUAGUCAGAGUCUGGUGCAGCAGGGACACUCUUAGUUCAGGCAUGGCACCAAAAAAUUCAGAUAAUUCUGCCAGAUGCUUUUUAAGUGCUUUUAGAAAAAAGCAGAAUGCUCUCAAGAUGUAGAAUUCUCUAAAAAUAUAGGGUGCUUAUUAAAAGCUGUCAUUUCAAAUAUAUGUAUAUAUAUGUACAUAACAUUUCUACUAUGGACAACUCUACCAAGCACGGAUCCUCAAAUCUAGAUAAAAUUGAAAAAAUGAGAUAAAUGGUAUGUCCAUCAUUACCAGGAGCUGGGAAUUAUGCACAAUGGACUGUAACUGCUGUCAUUGCUAAUCUCUAAUUAAAUAUUUUAUAGCUUUUCAGUAA